rnacentral:rRNA from 1 species
AUUGAACGCUGGCGGCGUGCCUAACACAUGCAAGUCGAGCGGUAACAGGUGUAGCAAUACAUGCUGACGAGCGGCGAACGGGUGAGUAAUGCUUUGGAAUCUUCCCAGUAGUGGGGAAUAACCAGUCGAAAGAUUGGCUAAUACCGCAUACGUCUGUAAAGGGAAAGCGGGGGACUCGCCUCUUCUUCGGAAGAGAGGCCUCGCGCUAUUGGAUGAGCCAAAGCGGAUUAGCUAGUUGGUGGGGUAAUGGCCUACCAAGGCGACAAUCCGUAGCUGGUCUGAGAGGACGACCAGCCACACCGGAACUGAGACACGGUCCGGACUCCUACGGGAGGCAGCAGUGGGGAAUAUUGGACAAUGGGGAAACCCUGAUCCAGCGACGCCGCGUGUGUGAAGAAGGCCUGCGGGUUGUAAAGCACUUUUAGUGGGGACAAAAGCUACGGAUUAAUACUCUGUGGUCUUGAUUCAACCUACAGAAAAGCACCGGCUAACUCUGUGCCAGCC